CUUUUAGCUACCACUUACAGAUGGACCCGCGGCGCAUUAGCUAGUUGGUGAGGUAACGGCUCACCAAGGCGACGAUGCGUAGCCGACCUGAGAGGGUGAUCGGCCACACUGGGACUGAGACACGGCCCAGACUCCUACGGGAGGCAGCAGUAGGGAAUCUUCCGCAAUGGACGAAAGUCUGACGGAGCAACGCCGCGUGAGUGAUGAAGGUUUUCGGAUCGUAAAGCUCUGUUGUUAGGGAAGAACAAGUGCCGUUCGAAUAGGGCGGCACCUUGACGGUACCUAACCAGAAAGCCACGGCUAACUACGUGCCAGCAGCCGCGGUAAUACGUAGGUGGCAAGCGUUGUCCGGAAUUAUUGGGCGUAAAGCGCGCGCAGGUGGUUCCUUAAGUCUGAUGUGAAAGCCCACGGCUCAACCGUGGAGGGUCAUUGGAAACUGGGGAACUUGAGUGCAGAAGAGGAAAGUGGAAUUCCAAGUGUAGCGGUGAAAUGCGUAGAUAUUUGGAGGAACACCAGUGGCGAAGGCGACUUUCUGGUCUGUAACUGACACUGAGGCGCGAAAGCGUGGGGAGCAAACAG
rnacentral:rRNA from 1 species